CCGGCGAAGUACGUAUGAAGGAAACUGAUUGUGUGUCAGUGAUGUGCUGGUGCGGCAGUAGCAUGCGGAAGACGUGUGCGUCAUGUGCAAGUGAAAUCUUGUGCCAAGCGGGUGACAGUCCCAUGCUGGUGCACACGAUCUCGAGCAGUGCGCUGCACACGGUGUAUGCACUUUGUAAGUGGUGCAUCGCUUAGGUGGUAACCAUCACCUACUACUUAAUAUUGAAUUGAUAUCAAUAGCGAACAAGUACCAUGAGGGAAAGAUGAAAAGANCUUUGAAAAGAGGGUGAAAAUCACAUGAAGUCGGUGUACUCUAUUGAUUGUGUUUGGUAUGUGCAAUCGCUUGUAGGCGAGGGAAACAUAGCUGCCCAAAGCUACGGUUUACCGUCACCUUCGCAUGCCUUUGCGCUCUCCUUAACCUGCAGCCUAUGCUUGUUUCGGCGUGUAGCAGAGCAUGUCCCCAUGGAUGCGCUCUGGCACAGCUGAAAUGCGAGGAGCGGCAGGAUCUACACCUCACGGUGCCAGCAGUGCUACCGAACACAACUGCCCGUCUUGAAACACGGACCGAGGAGUCUAGCAAUGCAGCGAGCACUAUGCAGAGUAUAGCAACGUGCGCAAUGAAAGUGAAAACUGCCAAUACGUGCGGCAGUGGCCGACAAUGUCGCUUCGGUGAUGUCGUUUGAGCUGGAGUGGAAGUGCUAGGACCCGAAAGAUGGUGAACUAUGCCUGGGUAGGGAGAAAACAGGGGAAAUUCUGUUGGAAGCUCGUAGCGAUACUGACGUGCAAAUCGUUUGUCAAACCUGGGUAUAGGGGCGAAAGACUAAUCGAACCAUCUAGUAGCUGGUUCCCUUCGAAGUUUCCCUCAGGAUAGCCGAGGAUUUCCAGUUUUGCUAGGUAAAGCGAAUGAUUAGAGGUAUUGGGAUCGCAUGAAUCUCGACCUAUUCUCAAACUUUAAAUGGGCAAGACACAAUUCUGCAUUGCGAGUAUUGUGGCGAAAUGAGAUCUUCGUGUGGGCCAUUUUUGGUAAGCAGAACUGGCGAUGAGGGAUGAACCUAUUGUCGAGCUAUUGUGUUUCACACCAUGAGCAUCAGAUGCCAGAAAGGGUGUUGGUUCAUCUUAACAGCAGGACAGUGGUCAUGGAAGUCGAAAUCUGCUAAGGAGUGUGUAACAACUCACCUGCCGAAUGAAGCAGCCCCGAAAAUGGAUGACGCUUUUUCAUGAGAAGUAUGCUGGACCAUAUCGCGAAGUAUAACGU
rnacentral:rRNA from 1 species